UAAAGCGCUGAAUUUUGCAGUUGCAAAAGCGGGGGAACCAACGAGUAUAUACGGCUUUGCAAGCCGUGUGUCUCAUGGGGUGAAUUUUCCGGCCAAGUGCCGUAAAUAGGGCGACUCUCACGUCCGAAUCCGACAGCUAACCUCGUAAGCGUACAGGGAGAG
rnacentral:sRNA from 1 species